AGAUCCUUUUGAGACUUCACCUGGCAAUUUAAGGUGGAAAUCUAAUGUACCGUAAUUAAAUGAUAGCCUAAUCUCAGUGUUUACUUAGCACUUAAUAUAUUUGUCUUUUAAUGUUGCUAUCACUAAAAGAAAUUUAAAGAAUUUCGUUAACAGGUGCAGGGUGCAGGUGAGUUGGUGUAUAAAAAAGUUGUGGCUGUAUUGGUGCAAGUCUGUAAAGUCUAUUUUAUGUUUCUUUCAAAGACUUAAUGUCUUUUGCACUUUAGUGUUGCUUUGGAAAAGAAGUCGAUGUGCAUUAUAUAGGGUAGGGUACGCAAGAAUAUAAUCUUUAAUAGCAAUUUUAAAUGAUGCUACUAUCAUUGUUUUAUUACAGUUAAAAGACCACUUUUACCUACCAACAGCAUUUUUUUAAAAAAAGCAACACAAGCAAAACAGAUUGACGAGCAAGAAGAUAAUUUAAAACGGCUUUUCAGGUUUCCCUGUGCUAUAGAGUUGUAAAGAGGUGUGGCCUUGCAUCGGAUGACUUCCUUCUCCUUUAAGACAUUAUUUAAAUGUGUUUACUCAUCUAAGACAUUUGUUACAUGUGAAGGGAUGUAUUUUUGUUAGAGGUGCCUGAAGUCUUUUUCAGGAUGCUUUUUCAUUUCAGAGUUGCAACAUUGAAGGCAGUGGGCAGAAAUUUGUAUUGUAUUGGUAGGUUCAGUGUUAUUCAAGCCAAAACCAAAAUGUGUUGUUGGUUUUUUCCCUGACAGUUAUGUAGAAUUAUGUUUGUAACUUCAUUAAAACUUAAACUUAAAAAUAUAUCAUUGUAUUAUUAAUUUAGAAGAGUUGGGAUAACAGUAACGUCUUUAAAUUACCUUCUUGGUCAAUGAAGGAGACCCAAAUGAUAUAAAUUAUAAGUACAGUUUAUUUAUAAGCUCCAGAAGGCAGCAACUUUAUCUUCUGAAUUUCUACAUCCCCCCACACUAUUUAGAAAAAAAAAUCCAUGGUGUUCACAUUGUACUGCAGUAAAGAGAGGAAAAUUGUUGUUGUUUUCUUUUUUAAAUAAAACCUCUUGAAAUUAA